AUGGCCUCGCUCCGCAUCCUUUCAGUGAUCGCCGUGGUCGCCAUCUUUGCCCUCGCCGGCACCGCCGUCGCCAAUGACCUCCCCGACUACAUUGUUCAGGGACGGGUCUACUGCGACACGUGCCGUGCCGGGUUCGAGACAAAUGUCACCGAGUACAUCAAGGGUGCCAAGGUGAGGCUGGAGUGCAAGCGCUUCGGCACUGAGAAAGUUGAGCGCUCGAUCGACGGUGUAACCGACGAGACUGGCACUUACAAAAUCGAGCUCAAGGACAGCCAUCCGGAGGAUAUCUGCGAGAUGGUUCUUGUCCAGAGCCCCCUCGCAAACUGCAACGAGAUCCAGGAUCUCAGGGACCGCGCCGAGAUAGUCCUCAGCAGGAACGUUGGCAUCAGCGACAACAUCCGCAUGGCCAACCCACUCGGCUACCUCAAGGACAAGCCGCUGCCCGUCUGCCCUGACCUGCUCAAAACGUUCAACCCUACCACUGAUGAUGAUCACUGA
rnacentral:rRNA from 1 species